rnacentral:rRNA from 1 species
AGAGUUUGAUCCUGGCUCAGGAUAAACGCUGGCGGCGUGCCUAACACAUGCAAGUCGAACGCGCCAGGGGCAACCCUGGUGAGUGGCGGACGGGUGAGGAACACGUGGGUUAUCUACCUUGAGGUGAGGAAUACCGGCGAGAAAUCGCCGACAAUACCGCAUAGGUUUCGCAAGAAACAAAGCUAAGCAAUUAGCGCCAC